rnacentral:misc_RNA from 1 species
GAAAUGCGAUACGUAAUGUGAAUUGCAGAAUUCCGUGAAUCAUCGAAUCUUUGAACGCACCUUGCACUCUGUUUCGGCAGAGUAUGCCUGUUUGAGAAUCUAAAUCACUCUUGUCUCUGUUGGUUGUCUUUGUUUGUCUUUGUUUGGGUGGUAUCUUCGGAGACUGCUGACUCACUGACAACAAAACGACCGCAGAAGCAGAUUUGGGGCAUCGCUCCUGGACGACGCAAGUCGAACGGGGAGCGUGCCCUCGAAGCGAUUGCCGCCUCUGACGAAGCGCAAUGUGUUUGAAUAGGGCUUGCCCUUUUUUGCAGCACGGCGCGCCAGUCACCGAGAGGUGCUCACCUAUCAUUGUGGCCAAAACCACACCAAGAAUAUGGUCUCAAAUCAGGCAGGAGGA